rnacentral:pre_miRNA from 1 species
GUGUUCCCAAGAGUUCCCUUGACCACUUCAUGAGGGAUUACUUUGUUGUAUAAAGUCCUGAUGAAGUGUUUGGGGGAACUCCGGGGCUAUC